CUGAAGGGCCCCGCCCCCUGCCCUGACGCGGUCGCUAUGGUAACUCGUCCGGGUUUCUGAGGUUUCUGUCAACAGUGAGAGGAAUAGUGAAGAAAUGCCUUUCUCCAUUUUGCUCUAAUUCUCCCUUGGUCCCGGCACUACGAUUGUUGCAUCCCUCCACAUCUCCUAAGGAGUGGGUGCCAGCUGACAAUGGGAGAGACUGUGUAACAGAGCGAGAUAGCCACGGACUUCCUAGUAGGCUCCACUUCCCUACCCAAGCCACAGCAACAAAAAUCAGACCUUCUGUUGCAAGAUGGCCCUAAGGAUUUGACAUUGAUCACCAUCAUAGAAUUGGAACUUACAAAUAUUUUUCUCUUGGUAACACUCUGCAGAUGGUUAAGAGCCAGCACGUGGUUGCUGGGGAUUGAACUCAGGACACUGUAGCUAACCAUUGUCGGUAACUCCAGUUCCCGGAACUCCAGCACUGUCUCUGCCCUCCAUGGGCAGCCCACAUGCGAGUGAUGCACACAUACAUACAAGUAAAGCACCCGCAUAGACAGCAAAACUUUGAAGAAAGAUAAUUUGUUUCCAGCAAAUCUGGACUAUAAGAAUGUCUGACAAACAACUUAAAUCAAGAAAGAGAGUUUGUUCACCUCCUGACAGACAAGAGAUGGGGAGGUGCAGAAGAAAGAGAGAAGAACAGAGAGGAAGAGAGGGGAGGGAAAAAGGAGAGGAAAGCAGUCUGGGGCAAGAAAGAUCCAAGGACCCACUGUAGUGACUUACUUCCUUCAGCUGCAAAGUGGCUAUAAGUUUCAAGUGGUCCCUGAAAGAACACCUCAGCUGGACUCAACCCCUCAAAUCACAAGCCUUUUGGAAGACCAGUUCACAUCCAAACUGAACAGUACAUUUCCUAGAACACCAAAGUCUCAUGUGCGUCUCACAAGGUAAUAUUUGGUAUACCAAGGGUUCCCAAAGCCUUAUCAGUUCAAACAUUGUUGACAAUUUAGGUUCAAUUAAGAUCUGAGACUCAAGGCAAAUUUUUACUCUUAGGCUCUAUAAAAUAAAACAAGCGGUGAAUGUCAUGUUUGGUUGUUGCCUCUCAGAAGUCUGCUCUUUUCUGAAAGGAAAAAAAGGGGAGAGGAUCUGAGGG
ensembl:lncRNA LOC108350428 uncharacterized LOC108350428